rnacentral:rRNA from 1 species
AGGGGGCAAGCGUUACCCGGAUUUACUGGGCGUAAAGCGCGUGUAGGCGGCUGGCCAAGUGUGGUGUGAAAUCCCCCGGCUCAACCGGGGAACUGCAUUGCAAACUGGUCUGGCUAGAGUGCAGGAGAGGGAAGUGGAAUUCCCGGUGUAGCGGUGAAAUGCGCAGAUAUCGGGAAGAACACCCGUGGCGAAGGCGGCUCUCUGGGACGGUACUGACGCUGAGACGCGAAAGCGUGGGGAGCAAACAGG